GACGAACCGAGCGAACGUUGUUCGGAAUCACUGGGCUUAAAGGGCGCGUAGGCGGUGCGGUAAGUCUGCGGUGAAAUCUCCCGGCUCAACUGGGAGUCUGCCGUGGAAACUGCCGUGCUUGAGUGUGGGAGAGGUGAGUGGAAUUCCCGGUGUAGCGGUGAAAUGCGUAGAGAUUAGGAAGAACACCAGUGGCGAAGGCGACUUACUGGACUGUAACUGACGCUGAGGCAUGAAAGCGUGGGGAGCAAACAGG
rnacentral:rRNA from 1 species